UACGAAGGGGGCUAGCGUUGCUACGGAAUCACUGGGCGUAAAGGGCGCGUAGGCGGACUUUUUAAAGUCAGGGGGUGAAAUCCUGAGGCUCAACCUCAGAACUGCCUUUGAUACUGAGGGUCUCGAGACCGGUAGAGGUAAGUGGAACUGCGAGUGUAGAGGUGAAAUUCGUAGAUAUUCGCAAGAACACCAGUGGCGAAGGCGGCCAACUGGUCCGAUACUGACGCUGAGGCGGCGAAAAGCGUGG
rnacentral:rRNA from 1 species